AUUGAACGCUGGCGGCAGGCCUAACACAUGCAAGUCGAACGAGCGGCGGACGGGUGAGUAAUGUCUGGGCAACUGCCUGAUGGAGGGGUAUAACUACUGGAAACGGUAGCUAAUACCGCAUACCAUCAGAUGUGCCCAGAUGGGAUUAGCCUAUAGGUGGGGUAACGGCUCACCUAGGCGACGAUCCCUAGCUGGUCUGAGAGGAUGACCAGCCACACUGGAACUGAGGCACGGUCCAGACUCCUACGUGAGGCAGCAGUGGGGAAUAUGGCACUAUGGGAGAAAGCCUGAUGCAGCCAUGCCGCGUGUAUGAAGAGGGCCUUCAGGUUGUAAAUUACUUUCAGCGGGGAGGCGUUACCCGCAGAAGAAGCACCGGCUAACUCCGUGCCAGCAGCCGCGGUAAUAC
rnacentral:rRNA from 1 species